GCAUAUCAAUAAGCGGAGGAAAAGAAACCAACCGGGAUUGCCCUAGUAACGGCGAGUGAAGCGGCAAGAGCUCAAAUUUGAAAGCUGGCCCCCUCGGGGUCCGCAUUGUAAUUUGCAGAGGAUGCUUCGGGAACGGCCCCCAUCUAAGUGCCCUGGAACGGGCCGUCAUAGAGGGUGAGAAUCCCGUCUGGGAUGGGGUGGCCGCGCCCGUGUGAAGCUCCUUCGACGAGUCGAGUUGUUUGGGAAUGCAGCUCUAAUUGGGUGGUAAAUUUCAUCUAAAGCUAAAUAUUGGCCGGAGACCGAUAGCGCACAAGUAGAGUGAUCGAAAGAUGAAAAGCACUUUGAAAAGAGAGUUAAACAGCACGUGAAAUUGUUGAAAGGGAAGCGCUUGCGACCAGACUCGCCCGCGGGGUUCAGCCGGCACUCGUGCCGGUGUACUUCCCCGCGGGCGGGCCAGCGUCGGUUUGGGCGGCCGGUCAAAGGCCUCUGGAAGGUAACGCCUCUCGGGGCGUCUUAUAGCCAGGGGUGCCAUGCGGCCUGCCCGGACCGAGGAACGCGCUUCGGCUCGGACGCUGGCAUAAUGGUCGUAAGCGACCCGUCUUGAAACACGGACCAAGGAGUCUAACAUCUACGCGAGUGUUCGGGUGUCAAACCCGUGCGCGCAGUGAAAGCGAACGGAGGUGGGAACCCCCCGGGGUGCACCAUCGACCGAUCCUGAUGUCUUCGGAUGGAUUUGAGUAAGAGCGUAGCUGUUGGGACCCGAAAGAUGGUGAACUAUGCCUGAAUAGGGCGAAGCCAGAGGAAACUCUGGUGGAGGCUCGCAGCGGUUCUGACGUGCAAAUCGAUCGUCAAAUUUGGGUAUAGGGGCGAAAGACUAAUCGAACCAUCUAGUAGCUGGUUCCUGCGA
rnacentral:rRNA from 1 species